rnacentral:rRNA from 1 species
AGUGAACGCUGGCGGUAGGCCUAACACAUGCAAGUCGAACGGCAGCACAGUAAGAGCUUGCUCUUACGGGUGGCGAGUGGCGGACGGGUGAGGAAUACAUCGGAAUCUACUUUUUCGUGGGGGAUAACGUAGGGAAACUUACGCUAAUACCGCAUACGACCUACGGGUGAAAGCAGGGGAUCUUCGGACCUUGCGCGAUUGAAUGAGCCGAUGUCGGAUUAGCUAGUUGGCGGGGUAAGGCCCACCAAGGCGACGAUCCGUAGCUGGUCUGAGAGGAUGAUCAGCCGCACUGGAACUGAGACACGGUCCAGACUCCUACGGGAGGCAGCAGUGGGGAAUAUUGGACAAUGGGCGCAAGCCUGAUCCAGCCAUACCGCGUGGGUGAAGAAGGCCUUCGGGUUGUAAAGCCCUUUUGUUGGGAAAGAAAAGCAGCAGGUUAAUACCCCGCUGUUCUGACGGUACCCAAAGAAUAAGCACCGGCUAACUUCGUG